UUACACACUCCCAAACAGUACCUUAUCAGUCCAUCACUCUCUGUCUCUCUCUUCUCUCUCUAUAUCAUCAAACCGUAUCUCACUACCAUCAAACCCUAUCUCACUUCUCUCUAUCUCCGAAUUGGGGAUCGGUGUUUGGGGUUUCGGAGAGGCGAUUAGGGAUGAGAGAGGGACCAAUUGAGGACCGAUUGGAGAAGAGAGAGGAGUCGGUGUCGGAGUCCACGGUUGUGGCGGUGGACAGACUUGCAUAUUUCAGUUUGUGUGCUUAAGGUUUAUAGUACCUAAACAUUUCAACCAAUAUGUUAAUCUCGCAAGUACCAGUGAACAGAGGCUGCUGGGUCACCUUCUCGGCAAAUAUACAACCAACCGACCACACAUCAACUGGGGUUGAGUAUUUCAAACCAAGCAGGAGUUCUGAUCAUCAAACCAAGCACGAGUUCGAUACACAACUACAGUCCAUCAGCCCAUCUAUAUUCCUUAUUCCUUAUUCCUCAUUCCUCAUUCUGAUCAUCACAGGUUUUCGCCUUCGUGGUGGAGUGAAAAGCCUGCCAAACUUGCCGGCCUAGGAUAGCAGGAGACCAAGCUGCAUUUUGGGGUUGUGGAUUCUUUGGAGCCCAAGACACCCUUCAUGAUGAUAGGGGUUGCCAUUACUUCAAAGAUUGCUAUAUCCAAGGUUCAAUUGACUUAUCUUUGGCAAUGCUAGGUCCUUGUAUGAGAGUUGCUAGCCGAGUUCGAUUGUGAACCCAGUGGCACUAGGGGCGAAGGUGAUAAACGGAGUGGUAAGCGCGCAUGGAAGAGCUUCAAAGGAUGAAAACAGUGGAUUUGCAUUUGUGAACUGCAGUGUGGGAGGGACUGGAAGAAUAUGGUUAGGUAGAGCAUGAAGGCCCUUCUCCACAGUGGUCUUUGCUUACACACAAAUGACUGAUAUCAUUGCUCCUGAGGGAUGGAACGAUUUCAAUGACCCCACCAGAGACUAGACCGUUUUCUAUGGAGAGUACAUGUGCGGAGGUGCAGGAGCUAAUAUGACUUUGAGGGUGCCAUAUGCCCAAAGACUGAAUGAUACACAAGUUUCUCCUUUCCUCAAUGCGUCUUUCAUUGAUGCAGAUCAAUGGUUACAACCAUAACAAUACACACAUACACACA